rnacentral:lncRNA from 1 species
GGAGGAAUGGAGUUUUUCUCAGAUGAUUGUAUAGAGUGUAUACAUCAGUAGAUCUUAUUUUGUUGCUAAUGUCUUCUUGCCCUGCACCAGCCAGGAUGAUUGUAUAUUGAGUUCCUGCAUUGAAAAUAUGUCACUGUCAUUUUAAAGUUGUGUUAUCAUAAUGCUAUUAGUCUGCAUUUACUUUACUUCUUCGGUCUUGCAGUUGCUAUCCUGCAAGUGUGUGAGGACAUGCAAAUCACCAGACUGCACCUGUCUCAGCAAUGGGCUGAAGUGCACAAACCUGUGCAAAUUACAAACUUGUGCCAACCAGUACAGUGAGGAAGAGCCCCUUGCACACCGGCAGAUUCAGAUGUAGAAGAAGAUACAGAUACUGAUGUCGAUUACUGAUGUUGAUUAAUAAAUGAUGACCAAAGGGAGCUAUGUUAACAGACCCACUGUGACUCAGUGACAGAAUUAUGUACUAAGCCAAAACUUGACAGUCAUAUUUGCUGUCACUGUUCCUUAUGGAAAGAAUAGGACUUUGAAUAGGGAUUGGAGUUUUCUCAGAUGAUUGCAUAGAGUGUAUACAUCAGUGGAUCUUAUUUUGUUGCUAAUGUCUUCUUGCCCUGCACCAGCCAGGAUGAUUGUAUAAUGAGUUCCUGCAUUGAAAAUAUGUCAGUGUCAUAUUAAAGUUGUGUUAUUAUAAUGCUAUUAGUCUGCAUUUAUUUUACUUCUACUUCUAAGUAAAAAAAUAUCCUUUAUUUAGACCUUGAUUUAGACCUGACGAUUGGCUAAUUGAAGCUUAUAUAUACACACCUGUAUUAGAUAAAAUACUUGAAAUACUACUUAGGGGGUUAUUACAAGUCUCUAUGGCUAGCCAAUAGUUCAAACACACCUAAAUGAGAGGUUAAAAUGAAAGAAAGCUAAUUUUGAAGGAAGGCGAUUUUUCAUUUUUGAAAGCUGCACUCUAUUACUUCAGUGAGUGAUAACUACAAUAAAGCUACCAGUUACCAAGGUCUAUCAUAUAAAAACUUAUUGUAGGGAUGUAUAGCAAUAAAAAAAUCACAACUAGAAUUUGCCCACCCAGGUGGUACCGAUAUGUGAAAUUUUGGUUCUUGGCUCAAGUGCUUUGAUAGCUGAAAGAACUGCUCCACCAUCAAAUUGGGCCACUCCCACUUCAUCAACUCAUUUAAUUAGACACAGGUUUGAUUCAUUUAUAGAAAAGAGCAGUGUGACCCAAAAAGAGUGUGACUUUUAAUGUGCUUUUGACUUUCUGUGUUGCUUUUGGAGUUAACAAAAAUUUGCCUAUUGAGGAAAAUAACAAAAUGAGAAAAAAUAUAAAAAGCUACCCCUAUGAAAAGUCUAUCAUAUUUUAAUUUACUUAUAUUGACCCUAAAAACAAUUUAGAAUAUGUAAGGUUUUGCCCACCCAAGUGGUACCGACAUCUGGUCUGGCUCAAGGACUAUAAGGGCCUGAUUCACUAUGGGACUAUGCAGCUUUACUCUACUUCCUCUAAUCUGUGUAUUUAUAUAUAAGACAUUGUGUAAUUCACAAAGCAAAGGGUCACAUGCACCAUAACCUUAACUGCACAACAAAUAGCAUCAGUAUCCGACACUGCUGUGUGCAUACAUUAAAAUCAACCACAAUGUUUUUAUUUGGAGUGAAAUAGGACAUGUAAAUAAGACUUAUGGCAAAAACACCAAAUGCACAAACUGAGAAGCCAACAGCCACUCUCAAAAGAGAGUGAAACUUUUACUGUCUGCUGAGAGGUAGGGAGGUGGUUGGAUUGUCCGCUUUUAAUGUGGUCCCCGGGCUCAUAUUUGGCUCAUUCAUGCUGACAAGGAUGUUAUAUAGUUGAAAAAAAGAGCUAGGCUCAUCAUUUUUCAGUUAAGAUGACAGACUGUGUUUUAUUUUGGGUUUACUUUGGACCACAGUAGCUCAGAGAAGUUUAUUGGCACUAAUAAACUCUGUAAUUACCCAUGAGAAUAAAUAAAACACUGUAAAAGCAACACCCAGCCAAUGAUGUGCAAAAUUUACCACACCUCAAGUACAUAUGUGUAAGGCAACAAGUCCUCAGUUUAAGUGCAAGUUAAGGCACCGCAGAAAUUCCCAUUACCUUUGUCCGAGUCCAAGUCGAUUCUUCAAUGGUAAGUUAUUUAUCACAAACAGGUUGGUGUUUUUACUCCAAACCGACUGUAUGAGACCCAUAGACUGUAUAUAGAACAUAUACACUACAGGCCGAAAGUUUGAAAGCAAGAUCAGAUUUGUACAAAAAAAGGUCAUAGUUUCAUUAAUAUAAUUUGCAACACAAUAAACAUGACUAUUGUGUAAAGAGUAACUUAUCAGAAGACAUUUUGACUAUAAUUAUUAGGUAUUUGAGUUAUUGUUGCUUAGACUUUGCUUUCUUUAAAGUAACCUCCUCUGGCUUUCACAACAGCUUGGCAUAUACCAGGCAUUCGUUCCACAAGUUGUAUUUCCCCCGCAAUCAAGCAGCUGUCGGAUUGUGGAUCUGAAAGCGCUCACAUCUCUGCAGGUCAGGAAACACUCUACUGUUCGGCCCCAUAGCAAGGAUCCUCCAUAUGCAACCCAGGCUUCCGGUUUUGACUUUCAAAAUAAAAUGCAAACCACAUCACAACCCGUUCACCAUCAAGACUUAUCUAAGACUUAACACUGCACCAAAACAACACCUAACUGUGCUUUAUUUUGGCGUAGGCUAUAAAUUAAAAGCAUAGACUCAGUAAGACUAAUUAGGCCUUAGAUCUGAGUCAGAAAGAGAUCGGGGAGUGAGUCGGUCGAUCCCCACUAAGAAAUCGAUUUUAAAAGUUUUCUUUGGAUCCAUGAUUACUGUUAUCAUAGUACCUUUCAGACCAGAUUAAAGAGACAGAAACAAUAAACAGUGUCAGGUUUUUUUCCUGUUUUUUUUCUCCUUUUUUUGCCUGACUGAUAAUAAUGAUAAAAAAAAAAACAGGCAGAAAACUGAAAGAAAAAAACACACAAAAAAAAUAAAAUAAAGGGAAAAAAAAGUAUUUCUGAAAAAAAAAAAAACUACUGGAAAGAAAAUUAAAAAACAACAAACAAAAGCACCCAUAACCCGGUGUUUUUCACACAAAAAAAAAAAAUAAACCUUGCGGUUUUCCCUCCCAUGGGAGGGUUUUUAUCCCCCUCCUCGAGCUACCACCUUACCGUGGUGGAGGGGUUUGUGUGUCCCAAUGAGAGUUAAUUCUGAUUUACUCUUGCUGUUGUCAAAAAGUGCUAAAAUUUCUCUGAAUUUCGCAUGUUAAGUAGGCCCAUGUCAGUUUUAAUCCUUGCAGGACUCUUGUUUUCACUUUUCAUCAGCAGAGGAAAAGCUUUUGGAUAACUGAUUAAUAUAGAGUUCAGGGGAAAGUAUAUCUGCAAUGUAUAAUCAAUAAUGACUUUAUCUUCAUGAGUAAAUAUGAUUUGUACAUUUAAAGAGAACUAUUUUUUAAUUUUGGUUCAACAAUGGACAGAAGUAGACAGGCAAGAUGGCGUCUGUAAAGUUCAGUUUAACAGCUGGUGUGUCAUACUAAGUUUUCUUAAUUAACUCAUCAAUACAUAUCAAUUCAUAAAGCAUCUAUUACAAAAACAGCUCAAAUCAAUGUGGGUUAACAGCAGGUUUGAAAAAUACAUGAUUGUUAUAGGGUGUGCUUUUGUUUACAUUUAAAUGUGAAAAAUUCAAAUGUAAACAAACAACAAGAGAAUAUGGCAUCAAAGGAACAAUUCCGUGAUGACAUCAUUAUGACAUCAUCAUGGCUUUCAUCUCGUGUUACUAACUAGAAGUAGAGCAGCUGUCUAGGAUAUCGUUUGAACCUUUCAGCGAGUAGCUACACUUAAAGAAAGAGACAAUCGAAAUCUUUUAGCAGCGGAACUCUGAGACUACAAACAGUCAAAGACAAUGCAGCGACCAACAGAGAGAGAGGAGACACUCCGCAGGACUGUGGCUCAGCUCACUGGACAGCUGGAGAGUGAGAAGAACCGAACACUCUUGCUCAGCCAGGAGUUGGAGGUGACUCAACAGAAGCUGACCAGGACUGUGACUCAGCUCGAGGGAGAGAAGAACCGAACACUCUUGCUCAGCCAGGAGUUGGAGGUGAUUCAUCAGAAGCUGACCAGACAAAGGGCUCUCAAGGAAGUGUACAUUAACAAAGGGAAGGAGCUCAAAAAGGAGCUGCAGAUGCUUCAAAAGUACAGCUCAGAGGAGACCCUCUCCAAACACAGAAUUGCUCUUAAGGUGAGGGACACGAGCCGGCAGAAGAAGAAGAAGGAUCUUCAUGUCGAUUACGAGGAGCUGAAGGUGGCACAUAUUGUGGAAAAUGAGAGGCUCACAACACAAGUCCAGGAACUGACUGAAAGAAACACGGUCCUCCAUGAAGAACAGGAGAAGACAAGAACCUCAUACCAAGCACUGAAAUUCCAGUAUGCAACUGAUCUCACUGCUGCGAAACAGGAAGUUGAGACCCUUCAGCGUGAGCUGCAAAAUCAGGCUCACCAUGAUGGACUCUUACAGGAACAGACCAUCCAGAUCCUGAGAGCCGAACAGGACUCCAUGACGGAGAAGAUUGCUGUUCUGCAGCAGGCAGCUUUUGAAACAGAGAGGAGGCACUGGGCUGAGCUGGAGGAGCUGAAACAACAGCUCUACAUUCAGACAGCCGGUAUGAUGGACAACAAGGAGCUUAAAGUGGCCCAAGAAACCAGCUUUAACAAUGAAAAAAACAAAAAAACAAAUGAACUCUCAACUGAGCUUCAACUUCGAGAGACAGAAAUCAGGCAAAGUGAGAUGACGCUUCAGGAGCAGGACUUCAUGGACAUGGACAUCGAGCAGUUUUGCAUGGAGUUGGAGAAAACUGCAGAAACUUCUGGAGCUGAAGAACUGGCAGGAGCUUUAGAAAUCGAAGUGACUGCUGGAUCUCCAGAACUAGUUGGAACAGCAGGACCAGCAGAGACACCAACCUCUAAUGCCACCAAACCACCUUCUUCAGUCUGGAAACAAACAAGACACUUCUUGGGGUUAAGAAAGCCUGAGAAGUGGAAGAAGAAGUAACUUCCUCGAAGUAAGGAAGUACUUUAAAAAAGAAGAAAACUCUUCAAAAAGAGAUCUCCAAAAAAAAAUAAAUAAAUAAAAAAAAAAAAAAAAAAAAAACCUUAAAAAUGGCAGAAUACUUGGAAAAAAAACAUAAGAAAACUAAAAAAAUAUAUUAAAUAGAAAAGUAUUUCUGAAAAAAAGAAAACAAAAAAAAAACCUUAAAACAGGCAGAAAAAAGAGAAAACUAAAAAAAAGAAAAAGAAUAGUAUUUCUGAAAACAAAAAAACAAACAAAAAAACACCCUAAGAAAAGUAAAAAACAAAAAGAAAAAUAAUAAUAUUUCUGAUUCUUGGGGUUAAGAAGGCCUGAGAAGUGGAAGAAGAAGUAACUUCCUCGAAGUAAGGAAGUACUUUAAAAAAAAAAAAAAAACUCUUCAAAAAGAGAUCUCCAAAAAAAAUAAAAAAUAAAGAAAACCAAAAAAAAAAAAAAAAUACUGAUGAAAAAACAAAAAAUAAAAAAAAACUUAUAAUGGGCAAAAAAAAAUAAAUAAAAAAAAAAAAAAAGUUUUUCUAAAAAAAAAAAAAAAAAAACCUUGCGGUUUUCCCUCCCAUGGGAGGGUUUUUUCCCCUCCUCGAGCUACCACCUUACCGUGGUGGAGGGGUUUGUGUGUCCCAAUGAUCCCAGGAGCUAUGUUGUUGGGGGCCUCCGAAGGGUCACCCAAGGCAAACAGAUCCUGGGGGAGGGACCAGACUAAGAGUAGCUCAUCCAGACAGAGGUGCCAGGAAAAAAAAAAAAAAAAAAAAGCAAAAUCACCCUAAACAAGGCGUUUUGCACAAAUUAUUAUAAUAAUAAAAAACAGGAAGAAAACUGGAAAAAAAAACUAAAAAAAAAGUAUUUCUGUAAAAAAAAAAUUGGAAAGAAAAUUAAACAACAAAAAACAAAAACACCCAUAACCAGGUGUUUUGCACACACACACACAAAAACCUAAGAGUAGCUCAUCCAGACAGA